rnacentral:rRNA from 1 species
AUGAACGCUGGCGGCGUGCCUAAUACAUGCCAGUCGAGCGAACAGACGAGGAGCUUGCUCCUCUGACGUUAGCGGCGGACGGGUGAGUAACACGUGGAUAACCUACCUAUAAGACUGGGAUAACUUCGGGAAACCGGAGCUAAUACCGGAUAAUAUAUUGAACCGCAUGGUUCAAUAGUGAAAGACGGUUUUGCUGUCACUUAUAGAUGGAUCCGCGCCGCAUUAGCUAGUUGGUAAGGUAACGGCUUACCAAGGCAACGAUGCGUAGCCGACCUGAGAGGGUGAUCGGCCACACUGGAACUGAGACACGGUCCAGACUCCUACGGAAGGCAGCAGUAGGGAAUCUUCCGCAGUGGGCGAAAGCUUGACGGAGCAACGCCGCGUGAGUGAUGAAGGUCUUCGGAUCGUAAAACUCUGUUAUUAGGGAAGAACAAAUGUGUAAGUAACUAUGCACGUCUUGACGGUACCUAAUCAGAAAGCCACGGCUAACUACGU